rnacentral:rRNA from 1 species
GCCCCAGACUCCUACGGGAGGCAGCAGUGGGGGAUAUUGCACAAUGGGGGGAACCCUGAUGCAGCGACGCCGCGUGGGUGAAGGAGUAUUUCGGUAUGUAAAGCCCUAUCGGUAGGGAAGAAGCAAGACGGUACCUGACUAAGAAGCCCCGGCUAACUACGUGCCAGCAGCCGCGGUAAUAUGUAGGGGGCAAGCGUUAUCCGGAUUUACUGGGUGUAAAGGGGGCGCAGACGGCGAUGCAAGCCAGGAGUGAAAGCCCGGGGCCCAACCCCGGGACUGCUCUUGGAACUGCGUGGCUGGAGUGCAGGAGGGGCAGGCGGAAUUCCUGGUGUAGCGGUGAAAUGCGUAGAUAUUAGGAGGAACACCAGUGGCGAAGGCGGUCUGCUGGACAGCAACUGACGGUGAGGCGCGAAAGCGUGGGGAGCAAGCAGGAUUAGAUACCCCGGUA